ACAAGUUUGGUCCUAGCUUUAUUAUCAAUUGUUUCUAAACUUACACAUGCAAGUCUCAGCAAUCCUGUGAAAACGCCCUUUCCCUAUCGGGCUAAGGAGCUGGUAUUAGGCACAGAUUUCUUGCCCAUAACACCUAGUCCCACCACACCUUCAAAGGUCUUCAGCAGUGAUAAAAAUUGUCCAUAAGUGUAAACUUGAAUCAGUUAUAGAAAAGAGAGCCGGCCAACCCGGUGCCAGCCGCCGCGGCUACACCGUUGGGCUCAAAUUGAUAAUAGUCGGCGUUAAGCGUGGUUAAAGAAAGAUAAAAUUAUAGUCAAAUUUAAGCUUAGCUGUGAAAAGCUUGCCAUUCAGAAGUCCAUAAACGAAAGUUACUAUAAUAUAACUUGAACACACGACAGUUAAGAAACAAACUGGGAUUAGAUACCCCACUAUGCUUAACCGUAAAAUUUAAUUCACAUUAUCAACGCCAGGGUACUACGAGCCUUAGCUUAAAACCCAAAGGACUUGACGGUGUCCCACCCAACUAGAGGAGCCUGUUCUACAAUCGAUAAUCCACGAUAUACCAAACCAUUUUUUGUUAUUCAGCCUGUAUACCUCCGUCGCAAGCUUACCGUAUGAACGAACAUCAGUAGGCCUAAUGGCCUAAACGCCAAAACGUCAGGUCAAGGUGCAGCUUAUGAAAUGGAAGAAAUGGGCUACAAUUUCUAACUUAGAACAAACGAAACACUACAUGAAACAUAGUCAUGAAGGCGGAUUUAGCAGUAAGUAGAAAACAGAGAGUUCUACUAAAUAUGGCCCUGGGACGUGUACAAACCGCCCGUCACCCUCUUCAAUAGUUUUCAAUAUAGUUUAUAACAUAAUUUUCACGUCUUAGAAGAGGCAAGUCGUAACAUGGUAAGUAUACUGGAAAGUGUACUUGGAAUAA
rnacentral:ncRNA from 1 species